rnacentral:sRNA from 20 species
AUUGAAUGGGAAUAAAUAUAUAAAAUGAUUUGAAUGGGAAACUCUAAAUUUCAACGUUUUUAAAUGAUGAAAGUCAAUGAAAUCAAAUGAAUUGAUAUAUAGAUCCCUGCCAAAAUCCUGCCAAGGAUUUAUA